rnacentral:tRNA from 1 species
GGAUUGUGGCUCAGUGAUAGAGUGCUUGCCUAGCACAUGUGAGGUACUGAGUUCAAUCCUCAGAACCA